rnacentral:lncRNA from 10 species
CUUGCAACAACUAAGCCUGUUUUCUUGCUUUGCUCAAAUGGGAGGGAGAAGUGAAGAGGAGCGAACUGGAAGAAGGGAAUGCCACUCUCCUAAUGACCCAGCUCAGGAGGUGCUAGGGGAGGAUGGAGGAAGUGAAUGACCCAGCUCAGGAGGUGCUAGGGGAGGAUGGAGGAAGUGAAUGACCCAGCUCAGGACGUGGUGAGGGAGGAUGGAGGAAGUGCUUCCCUUUAAAUGCUUCCCCUUUGCGGGGGCUCACCUAAGGCCCAGGGAGGGCCACGACUCUCAUGUGGGGCAGGCCCCACCAGCACCUCCCUCCAUCCUGCCCCCUGUCCUUCCCCUCCGUCAUCUAGAGCCAGCCUCUGCCAGCACAGCUCAGAGCUGAACACCAGCAGUUGGCCAGAUCCACACUAGUCAUUUGAGGACCAUUUAGGAAGAGCUUCGAGGACAGUCGCAUUCUCUGCUAGGCCGCCAGCCCGACUCUACAGAAUGCACACCUGGAGCCAUAUGGAAUCUCAGGAACCUGCAAGGCUUCCCUCCCACUACGCGGACUAAGGGCAAGGCUCUCAGAAACAUUUCUAGGAUGUAUGUGCUGCAAGUAGGAAGGCCAGUGGUUGAUUAGAAUGGGAUCGUACGAGUCCUAAUGGAUACGUAACGCUCGAGCAGCCGGUACAAACGGUGGGCCCUGCACGCCUCCGCUAAGUUACCUCUCACUCCACCUGUUCCACAUGGUUUUCGCUCCGCUGGGCCAAUGCCUCUACCUACAGCACGUAGAGGAACAUCAGACUGAUUUCUGCUGAACACUCCUUUUCAUCCCCCUAAGGGACAAUGCGGGUACCGUGUCCUUAGUUUUUCUCAAUCAUCUUUCUUAUUUUUCUUAAUUCCCUUAAGAACUCUGAUCUUGUUUCCCUCUCUUUGUUCUGUUUGUGAUCCUCUGAAAAUGACCCUACCCUUAAUUUAAUUAAAACGAGCUGUUUACCCACUAGAAUGAUACAGUUAAAAAGUUUGACAAUACAAAGUGUUGGCAGGGCCACAGAAUCACUGGAAUUCUUAAAUGUUGCUUAUGGGAGUGUAAAGUAAUACGUUUUAUUUGAAAAAGAGUUUACAGUCCCUUACAAAGUAAGCACACGACCCAGAAACUCUACUCCUAGGUGUUCGCACCAAGUAAUAAAAUUUAUGUUUUAAGAACAAGAAAGUUCUUAGCAGCUUUAUUCAAAAUAGCCCCACUGGUAACAACGCAUCGGUAGGUAAAUAGAUAAACACAUCGUGCUACGGUCAUACAAUGGAAUGGUACUCAGCAGUGAAAAAGAACAACAUGGAAACAUCUCAAAAUAUGACGCCAAGUGCAAGGAGUGAGACACACGAGUUCACACCGUGCAUCCUCAUUUAUGAAGUUCUCCAACAGGUGAAAGUAACAGUCCGAACCUUGAAGUUCCUCUGUCGACCCUGCCAGUCUCUUUCAGGUUCUGCUAAAGUCUUUCCUCUUCACUCUUCCUAAUUACACUUACUUUUUUUGAGCAUCGAUCUUUAAUAGAAAUUUUUAAAUGAUUUCUUAUUUAUAUUAUUAUGUAUUACUUUUC